AUGCCCUACGGAUGCUCAGGUCCGCCGCAUCUCCUGGGACUUCGUGGGCUCGGCCAGGCUGGGGGCGGAUCGUUGCCUCCUCAACACCGCUUCCCAGCUGGCCACCUC
rnacentral:sRNA from 1 species